AACGAACGCUGGCGGCAGGCCUAACACAUGCCAGUCGAGCGGACCCUUCGGGGUUAGCGGCGGACGGGUGAGUAACGCGUGGGAAUAUGCCCUUCUCUACGGAAUAGUCCUGGGAAACUGGGGGUAAUACCGUAUACGCCCUUUGGGGGAAAGAUUUAUCGGGGAAGGAUUAGCCCGCGUUGGAUUAGGUAGUUGGUGGGGUAAUGGCCUACCAAGCCGACGAUCCAUAGCUGGUUUGAGAGGAUGAUCAGCCACACUGGGACUGAGACACGGCCCAGACUCCUACGGGAGGCAGCAGUGGGGAAUCUUAGACAAUGGGGGCAACCCUGAUCUAGCCAGGCCGCGUGAGUGAUGAAGGCCUUAGGGUUGUAAAGCUCUUUCAGCUGGGAAGAUAAUGACGGGACCAGCAGAAGAAGCCCCGGCUAACUCCGU
rnacentral:rRNA from 1 species